rnacentral:rRNA from 1 species
CCAAGACAGUUAGGGACCAGCUUAACUGUCCACGGGUACAGCCCCACCUGGAGGACUAGAACAACCAACACCACCCGUAGGCCUCAAAGCAGCCAGCACUAAACGCGUCAAAGCGCCCACCAAAAAAUAACACCCCCUCACACCACCCCCCAACCACCAACUGAGCCACUCUACCCAACACCUAGAAGAGACACUGUUAAAACUAGUAAUAUGAGGACACCCCUCUCUCUUGCACACCCCUACACCGGCACGGACCAACCACCGAUAUUUAACAACCAACACCCAAUCCCCAACCCAUUGUCACCCCGACACAGGAGUGCAUGAAAGAACUGACAAACUGCCACAAAAGGAACUCGGCUAACCCUGCCCCACCUGUUUACCAAAAACAUGGCCUUUAGCCCCAACAAGUAUUAAAGGUCCCGCCUGCCCAGUGAACCACUUUAAACGGCCGCGGUACUCUAACCGUGCAAAGGUAGCGUAAUCACUUGCCCCCUAAUUAGAGGCUCGUAUGAAAGGCUAAAUGAGGGCCCAACUGUCUCCUGAGGCAAGCCAAUGAAACUGCUCUCUCAGUACAAAAGCUGAGAUAAACACAUAAGACGAGAAGACCCUGUGGAACUUUUUAACAACCCCACUAACCCCACCCACACGCCCAUAGUGGGAUACUUUCAGUUGGGGCGACUACGGAGCACAACAAAACCUCCACGAACAAGGACAAAAUCCACCCGAGGCCUACAAGCCAAAACUACUAAAACCAAUUGACCCAGCAAUGCUGACCAACGAACCAAGCUACCCCAGGGAUAACAGCGCCAUCCCCCUUAAGAGUCCCUAUCGACAGGGGGGUUUACGACCUCGAUGUUGGAUCAGGACACCCAAGCGGUGUAGCCGCUGCUAAAGGUUCGUUUGUUCAACGACUAACGUCCUACGUGAUCU